rnacentral:misc_RNA from 1 species
GAUGAAGAACGCAGCGAAAUGCGAUAAGUAAUGUGAAUUGCAGAUUUCAGUGAAUCAUCGAAUCUUUGAACGCACCUUGCGCCUUGUGGUAUUCCACAAGGCAUGCCCGUUUGAGUAUCAUUAAAUCAUCAACUCUAAAACCUUUGUGGUUUUUUUAGAGCUUGGUCUUGAGGGUUUUGCAGGCUUUUUUUUUGAGUCUGCUCGCUUUAAAUGCAUUAGCGAGACUUCCCUAUGCUGAACCGUCUCUUUGACGUGAUAAUUAUCUGCGUCGAAUUUUGGUUCUCGUUGGGCUUGCUUCUAAUCGUCUGUUAAAGACAAAACGGAUUUGGGUGCAUAUAUGCGCCUUUUUCCAAAACCUUUUUUGAUCUCAAAUCGGGUAGGACUACCCGCUGAACUUAAGCAUAUCAAUAAGCGGAGGA